UAGCAUAUCAAUAAGCGGAGGAAAAGAAACCACCGGGAUUGCCUCAGUAACGGCGAGUGAAGCGGCAAGAGCUCAAAUUUGAAAGCUGGCUCCUUCGGGGUCCGCAUUGUAAUUUGCAGAGGAUGCUUCGGGUGCGGCCCCUGUCUAAGUGCCCUGGAACGGGCCGUCAGAGAGGGUGAGAAUCCCGUCUGGGAUGGGGUGUCCGCGCCCGUGUGAAGCUCCUUCGACGAGUCGAGUUGUUUGGGAAUGCAGCUCUAAAUGGGUGGUAAAUUUCAUCUAAAGCUAAAUACUGGCCGGAGACCGAUAGCGCACAAGUAGAGUGAUCGAAAGAUGAAAAGCACUUUGAAAAGAGAGUUAAAAAGCACGUGAAAUUGUUGAAAGGGAAGCGCUUGCGACCAGACUCGCCUCCAGGGUUCAGCCGGCAUUCGUGCCGGUGUACUUCCCUGGGGGCGGGCCAGCGUCGGUUUGGGCGGCCGGUCAAAGGCUCCCGGAAUGUAGUGCCCUCCGGGGCACCUUAUAGCCGGGAGUGCAAUGCGGCCAGCCUGGACCGAGGAACGCGCUUCGGCACGGACGCUGGCAUAAUGGUCGUAAACGACCCGUCUUGAAACACGGACCAAGGAGUCUAACAUCUACGCGAGUGUUCGGGUGUCAAACCCGUACGCGCAGUGAAAGCGAACGGAGGUGGGAGCCCCCUCGUGGGGCGCACCAUCGACCGAUCCUGAUGUCUUCGGAUGGAUUUGAGUAAGAGCGUAAAUGUGGGGACCCGAAAGAUGGUGAACUAUGCCUGAAUAGGGCGAAGCCAGAGGAAACUCUGGUGGAGGCUCGCAGCGGUUCUGACGUGCAAAUCGAUCGUCAAAUUUGGGUAUAGGGGCGAAAGACUAAUCGAACCAUCUAGUAGCUGGUUCCUGCCA
rnacentral:rRNA from 1 species